CUGAGGCGAGCAUCCUAGAUCCUGUGACUGCACGAGGUUCCCAGCCCCACAAUGCUAGGGGAACCAAAAGGCAGGCCACAUAUUGGCAAUAUUCAAUCUCUGCAAAUUUCCCAAGCCCCUGAGAAGUUAUGCCAAGGCCCUACAGUAUCAAAGGGAAGCCUUGAACAUAGGUCUUUCUGACUCUGAAGUCAGCUUCCUAUCUACUACAAUUCGUUUCUUCUCAUAUAAACGCCAAGGGACCAGAAGCCGAGGAGAUGGGAGCCAUUCAUUCCCAGCUACCUGAUCAGAAGCCACCAGAAGUCCAGCAUUCAAAGGAACCACUGCAAAAAGCUAAGAAAAACUGGAUGCGCUCACAAUCCUGUUACCAACACUAGCAUAUUCCUUUGCCUAGGCAACCUGAUACUAAGGAAAAAAGCUCUGGAAAAGUAAGGAGCUAUGGAUAUGGAAACCUGCAUACACUAUCAGUCUCAGAUGAUGUCCUGGUAAGUUUUGAUAGAUUACUUUUUUCAAUUCCUCUUUAAUUCACUUGCCUCAAAGGACUCCUCUCUGGGUAGGGCAGGCCGAAUCUUCUAUUUGGAAACGAAGAUGAUGUAAAAGGACAAUAUCUAUCUAUCUAUCUAUCUAUUUAAGUCUCGUGUUGAGAAUUAUCUUCUCCAACAUUUCUAAAAGAUGACAUCUAUUCUGUCUGAACACCUCCAAAGCUCACUGCUUCUGGAAACAUGUGUAGCUGUUUAAAAAUGUCUUUUGUUAAGCCAAACUCUUCCUACUGCUUCCUGCCCCAGGCCCUGGUUCUUUUCCCUGAGAAUGAGCCAAACAAACUUAAUCCCCCUUCCAUGUAACAGCCUUUUGGAUGUCUGAAGCUAACUACUUCCAGUUCCCUCAACUAUUCCUUCCAUGCCAUAGUUUCUAAGGUCAGAUGGAUAACCUUGAAAGCAUGCUCAAAUGUGGUAUAUUCUCUAUGGGUAAAUGUGGACAUAACUGCUCCUUUGACCGCUCAGACCCCUCAUCAGACUGACCACACACCUUUUUAAAACAUCUUGCCUUCCCACAAUCUCCACAACAUUCACAAUCAAUUCUUCUCAGUCAUGACAUAUGUAUACAAUAACCCAGAACAUACAUUCCACCACAAUUGGUGCAGAGAAUACCAGAAAAGAUCCAAAAAUGGUGUGAAGCAGGAGUGAAUAAAGGUUUUAUAGAAUAAAAGAUUCAGCAAUGGCAGAGCUAGAAGACCAAAUCAUGUCUCACCCAGACUUAAUAUUCUCUCUCCCCAUCUCCCCCCAGAAAAGGACUUUGCACAGAGCAAGUGGACUUAGUCAUAGAUUGCUGAAUUGGGGACACCUUAGAAAUCAGCUAGUGUAACCGUUCUCAUUUUACAAAUGAGGAAAUUGAGACCCAUAGUAAGGGAAGAAGCGGGCCAGGGAGAUAUGGCUCCUUAGUGUCAGCACCAGGGCUCAGUCUAGCUCUUCCUCAACAAUGAUGUCAAAUUCAAAUAGAAACUGAUUCCUAUGGGUUACGCAUUGACUUAGAAAACCACAAAUCACCAUUAUCUAUGCUGUAUUAUGUUUUUAAAAACUUAUGAAAGAUUUCCCAUUUAUAUUUUGAUCUGGUUCCACUAACCUUGGAGUUCUGUGGGUCACUGUGGUGCCUGUGGCUCUGGGACUGGACACCACCACCAUUUGUGCCACUGCAAAUAUUCUUAGUGUGUUCUGUCUGAAUGUGGGUUUGCCUAAUUUCAUUGUUCUAACUACAUUCUUAAUUCAUAAAGAAAGAGUUUGGAAUAUGUCCAUCAAAAUGGAUCACAUUCACAUGCUCUCUGUAAGACCUCACUCAGAGGUUUUUCGCCUGUAAAAUGAGAUGACGUCCAAGGUCCCUUCCCUCUUUUUAGCUUUCUCUGUUAAGGAUUGUGAUCGUUGGGCACUUUUCCUUAGAGAUAGUCUUCUGCAUCUUUGCCAUCUACAAAGUUCCCCUCAUCCCCUUCAGAUAGAGCUGCCAA